rnacentral:rRNA from 1 species
UACGAAGGGGGCUAGCGUUGCUCGGAAUCACUGGGCGUAAAGCGCACGUAGGCGGACUCUUAAGUCAGGGGUGAAAUCCUGGAGCUCAACUCCAGAACUGCCUUUGAUACUGAGAGCCUUGAGUUCGGGAGAGGUGAGUGGAACUGCGAGUGUAGAGGUGAAAUUCGUAGAUAUUCGCAAGAACACCAGUGGCGAAGGCGGCUCACUGGCCCGGUACUGACGCUGAGGCACGAAAGCAUGGGGAGCGAACAGG